AACGAACGCUGGCGGCAGGCCUAACACAUGCAAGUCGGACGAAGCCUUCGGGCUUAGCGGCGGACGGGUGAGUAACGCGUGGGAACGUGCCCUUUGGUACGGAAUAGCCCCGGGAAACUGGGAGUAAUACCGUAUGUGGUCGAGAGACGAAAGAUUUAUCGCCAAAGGAUCGGCCCGCGUUGGAUUAGGUAGUUGGUGGGGUAAUGGCCUACCAAGCCGACGAUCCAUAGCUGGUUUGAGAGGAUGAUCAGCCACACUGGGACUGAGACACGGCCCAGACUCCUACGGGAGGCAGCAGUGGGGAAUCUUAGACAAUGGGGGAAACCCUGAUCUAGCCAUGCCGCGUGAUCGAUGAAGGCCUUAGGGUUGUAAAGAUCUUUCAGUGGGGAAGAUAAUGACUGUACCCACAGAAGAAGCCCCGGCUAACUCCGUGCCAGCCGCCGCAGUAACAC
rnacentral:rRNA from 1 species